CUCUCUCACUCUCUAAGGCUCACUAUAGGAAAAUAUAACAUUAUGAAUAAAAAGUGUUGCUCACUUUUGAACUGCAAAGCAAAAUUUAGUAAAAGUAUACGCUGAUGCUUAUCAUCUAAGCAUGAUCCGUUACUUCAUGGGAGUUUGGUUUUCUUAAACGUUAAAAAAAAAGAUUAUCCUAGUCAUAGCUACAAUUGCUGAGAUAAAUCAAAGACACCAUUUCACUUCUUCGUAUUAUCAAAAUCCACAUGUUGUUGCCAAAAUAGACACGUGCUCAUUUUUCCAGGGGUCUUUUUAGGAGGGAAGUCCCUGCAAGACGUUAUCACUAAUUUGCUGCCAGUAAAUGUGUGGUACAAACCAGAAUUUCAGUUUGACCCUUGAUUUUAUAAUUUAAUACCAAUAUUACUUACAUUAUUAGUUUUACUGGUAAAUCAGGAGUAAGUUGUUGGAGUCCAGCUGUGACCCCAGGGCAAGAACUUUUUGCCUGCUGUCACCUUCUGACAGUUUAGGCUGUUAAUUACCUCCAUCAACUAGAACACAAGCACCUCUCUGUCUGCCAGCUGGCAGGCUGAGCUUCAGAAAUUGGCAGCUUGGGAAGAUCUAAAAAGCUGUAAAGGGGGCUGCUAUGUAAACAGUUUAUUGUACAAUAUUUGAUGACCACAGUAGGCCCGCAUCAGUAAUCAAAGGUAGGCUCCGCUAUUGGGCAUUGAUCGGUUAGCAAAGAAGAAAGUUUAAAAUAGCUUUUGUUUCUAUGUUUUUUAUCCGGCAGAGUGAAACUAAGGGUUUAGUUCUGGAGGCAUUAUGUUGGUGGCCGUGGGAGGAAGUCAGUCAAUCAUUUAGUUCUGCUGAGAUAAGCUUGGACCCAGUCGAAAGAAAGGAAGAGGAAACUUUGACUCAGACACAACACAGAGGAACACCAUGUGAAGACAUGGAGAGAAGACAGCCAUCACCAUGCCAAGGUGAGAGGCAUCAAAGGAGCCAACCCUGCCAACAUCUUGAUCUUAGACCUCCAGCCUUUGGAACUGACUGAUGAGACAGCAGUUUUUUCUUGACUUUCAGAGAAACUGAACAGUGUGAAUCCACUCCCAAAAUAAGAAGAACCUUUAUUUGGUGAGCAGGCCACCGAAUUUUGUUGGCAUUUAUCAACCACGUCCCUGCUAGUGAAGGUGUCACAGCAUCACAAUCUGGGCUAUUGAGACUGAAACAUCUGCCACGUCAACCAACAGGACAGCACCUGUGUAGUGAGAGCUGAGGACAUCAGAAAGCAAGGGCACUCAUGUUAAAUCCUGACCCAACCCAGUGGCAAAUGGCAGAGAAGUCCCUCUAUCACUGGGCUACAUUCUGCUAUGGGUUGUGUCACUGGGGAGGAACAUGGAGCUUUGGGACUUCAGUGCCGGCCCAUUACUCCAGAAGAUGACAUUCUUUCUAGUUUACAAGACUUCAAGCAAACCUGCCCUUAUCUUGAUUGAGUACUUAUAAGAAUGUUUGCUUCAUGAAGGCAGGAAUUUUAUGCCUUUUUCACUUCCAUAUUUCUAGCCCCUAAAUAGUAAAAUAGUAGGCUCAAGAUAGAUACUUGUUGAAUGCGGUUUAAUUAUGAAAAUGCCUGAUUUUCCUACUGAGAUGAGUGACAACCACUUUCAGG
rnacentral:lncRNA from 1 species